UACGUAGGUGGCAAGCGUUGUCCGGAAUUACUGGGUGUAAAGGGAGCGUAGGCGGGGUUGUAAGUUGGAUGUGAAAUACCGCGGCUCAACCGCGGGGCUGCAUCCAAAACUACAGCUCUUGAGUGGAGUAGAGGCAGGCGGAAUUCCUAGUGUAGCGGUGAAAUGCGUAGAUAUUAGGAGGAACACCAGUGGCGAAGGCGGCCUGCUGGGCUUUAACUGACGCUGAGGCUCGAAAGCGUGGGGAGCAAACAGGAUUAGAUACCCUGGUAGU
rnacentral:rRNA from 1 species